rnacentral:rRNA from 1 species
UACGGAAGGCAGCAGUGGGGAAUAUUGCACAAUGGGCGAAAGCCUGAUGCAGCUAUGCCGCGUGUAUGAAGAAGGCCUUAGGGUUGUAAAGUACUUUCAUCGGGGAGGAAAAACAAAACUAAUAAUUUUAUUUCUUGACGUUACCCGAAAAAGAAGCACCGGCUAACUCCGUGCCAGCAGCCGCGGUAAUACGGAGGGUGCUAGCGUUAAUCAGAAUUACUGGGCGUAAAGAGCACGUAGGUGGUUUUUUUAAAGUCAGAUGUGAAAUCCCUGGGCUUAACCUAGGAACUGCAUUUUGAAACUGAAAUACUAGAGUAUCGUAAGAGGGAGGUAGAAUUCUAGGUGUAGCGGUGAAAUGCGUAGAUAUCUGGAGGAAUACCUGUGGCGAAAGCGGCCUCCUAAACGAAUACUGACACUGAGGUGCGAAAGCGUGGGGAGCAAACAGGGAUUAGAUACC